CUAAUACCGGAUACGACGCGCUCCUGCAUGGGAUGCGCGUGGAAAGCUCCGGCGGUGAAGGAUGAGCCCGCGGCCUAUCAGCUAGUUGGUGAGGUAAUGGCUCACCAAGGCGACGACGGGUAGCCGGCCUGAGAGGGCGACCGGCCACACUGGGACUGAGACACGGCCCAGACUCCUACGGGAGGCAGCAGUGGGGAAUAUUGCACAAUGGGCGAAAGCCUGAUGCAGCGACGCCGCGUGAGGGAUGACGGCCUUCGGGUUGUAAACCUCUUUCAGCAGGGAAGAAGCGAAAGUGACGGUACCUGCAGAAGAAGCGCCGGCUAACUACGUGCCAGCAGCCGCGGUAAUACGUAGGGCGCAAGCGUUGUCCGGAAUUAUUGGGCGUAAAGAGCUCGUAGGCGGCUUGUCACGUCGGGUGUGAAAGACCGGGGCUUAACUCCGGUUCUGCAUUCGAUACGGGCUAGCUAGAGUGUGGUAGGGGAGAUCGGAAUUCCUGGUGUAGCGGUGAAAUGCGCA
rnacentral:rRNA from 1 species